UACGGGGGGAGCAAGCGUUGUUCGGAUUUACUGGGCGUAAAGGGCGCGUAGGCGGUCGUGACAAGUCACUUGUGAAAUCUCCGGGCUUAACUCGGAACGGUCAAGUGAUACUGUCGGACUAGAGUACAGAAGGGGCAACUGGAAUUCUCGGUGUAGCGGUGAAAUUCGUAGAUAUCGGGAGGAACACCAGUGGCGAAGGCGGCGACCUGGGCCAAUAUUGACGCUGAGGUGCGAAAGCGUGGGGAGCAAACAGG
rnacentral:rRNA from 1 species